AGCGAACGCUGGCGGCAGGCUUAACACAUGCAAGUCGAGCGCUCGUAGCAAUACGGGAGCGGCAGACGGGUGAGUAACACGUGGGAACGUACCUUUUGGUUCGGAACAACACAGGGAAACUUGUGCUAAUACCGGAUAAGCCCUUACGGGGAAAGAUUUAUCGCCAAAAGAUCGGCCCGCGUCUGAUUAGCUUGUUGGUGAGGUAACGGCUCACCAAGGCGACGAUCAGUAGCUGGUCGAGAGGAUGAUCCGCCACAUUGGGACUGAGACACGGCCCAAACUCCUACGGGAGGCAGCAGUGGGAAUAUUGGACAAUGGGCGCAAGCCUGAUCCAGCCAUGCCGCGUGAGUGAUGAAGGCCCUAGGGUUGUAAAGCUCUUUUGUGCGGGAAGAUAAUGACUGUACCGNAAGAAUAAGCCCCGGCUAAACUUCGUGCCAGCCG
rnacentral:rRNA from 1 species